GCUGGGUAUGGUGAUGCAUGCCUUUAAUCCCAGCUACCUGGGAGGCUGAGACAGGAGGAUCACAAGUCCAAGGCCAGCCUUAGCCACUUAGUAAGACCCUGCCUGGG
rnacentral:sRNA from 1 species